GGCGCCGCCGGGGCACGGGCUGGGCUGGGCUGGGCUGGGCUGGGCUGGGCUGGGCAGCGGAGCGCGGCAUCGCGGCUGCUGCCGUCCUUUUCUUCUUCCUGCCCUUCGUAACCGCU